rfam:Anaerostipes sp. 992a contig000004, whole genome shotgun sequence.
GCAUCUGUAACUCAGUGGAUAGAGUGCCAGCCUCCGAAGCUGUUGGUCGCGGGUUCAACUCCCGCCAGGUGCA